CCCGCUGAACUUAAGCAUAUCAAUAAGCGGAGGAAAAGAAACCAACAGGGAUUGCCUCAGUAACGGCGAGUGAAGCGGCAACAGCUCAAAUUUGAAAUCUGGCUCUUUUAGAGUCCGAGUUGUAAUUUGUAGCAGAUGCUUUGGGUGUAGCUCCGGUCUAAGUUCCUUGGAACAGGACGUCAUAGAGGGUGAGAAUCCCGUACGUGACUGGGUGCUUUCGCUCGUGUAAAGCUCUUUCGACGAGUCGAGUUGUUUGGGAAUGCAGCUCAAAAUGGGUGGUAAAUUUCAUCUAAAGCUAAAUAUUGGCCAGAGACCGAUAGCGCACAAGUAGAGUGAUCGAAAGAUGAAAAGCACUUUGGAAAGAGAGUUAAACAGUACGUGAAAUUGUUGAAAGGGAAGCGCUUGCAAUCAGACUUGCGCGCUGUGGAUCAUCCGAGCUUUUGCCCGGUGCACUCCGUUGCGUUCAGGCCAGCAUCGGUUUUGGUGGGCGGAUAAAGGCCUUGGGAAUGUAUCUUCUUUCGGGGAGUGUUAUAGCCCUCGGUGCAAUGCGCCCUACCCGGACCGAGGACCGCGCUUCGGCUAGGAUGCUGGCGUAAUGGUUGUAAGCGACCCGUCUUGAAACACGG
rnacentral:rRNA from 1 species